GACGAACGCUGGCGGCGUGCUUAACACAUGCAAGUCGAACGGAAAGGCCCUGCUUUUGUGGGGUGCUCGAGUGGCGAACGGGUGAGUAACACGUGAGUAACCUGCCCUUGACUUUGGGAUAACUUCAGGAAACUGGGGCUAAUACCGGAUAGGAGCUCCUGCUGCAUGGGGGGGGUUGGAAAGUUUCGGCGGUUGGGGAUGGACUCGCGGCUUAUCAGCUUGUUGGUGGGGUAGUGGCUUACCAAGGCUUUGACGGGUAGCCGGCCUGAGAGGGUGACCGGGCACAUUGGGACUGCGGUACGGCGCAGACGCCUACGGGCGGCAGCAGUGGGGAAUAUUGCACAAUGGGCGGAAGCCUGAUGCAGCAGCGCCGCGUGCGGGAUGACGGCCUUCGGGUUGUAAACCGCUUUCGCCUGUGACGAAGCGUGAGUGACGGUAAUGGGUAAAGAAGCACCGGCUAACUACGUG
rnacentral:rRNA from 1 species